rnacentral:hammerhead_ribozyme from 1 species
AUCUGGCUGACGAGUCCCAAAUAGGACGAAACGUGCAUCCUGGAU